GUCCAAUUUUAGGAACUGAUCUAACUUGCUGCUAAAAAGCCAUGUAGUUCCAAUUCCAGCUCUUCCAUUCGCCGACGCUGUCACUUGGAUGUGUCCAAACUUCCCAGGAUGAAGACAAUAUUUACCUUACAGAAUGACCGAGGAGGCAGAGUAACCUGAUGGUGAAGAGCCAGGAGGCCUUGGGCAAGUUACAGAAGCUAUUCUGAGCCCCCAUCUUUCUUGGAACUUUAUAGGCUGUGG
rnacentral:lncRNA from 9 species